rnacentral:rRNA from 1 species
AUGGAUGAUCCUGCUGCUCAAGCUCAGCCUCCUGUCGUGGAGGAUCCUGCCGCUCAGCCUCCUGUAGUGGCUGCUCAGCCUCCUGUCGUGGAGGAUCCUGCUGCUCAGGCUGAGGAUGUCACGCCGUUGGUUAAUUGGGUCCCAGUGUUUCAACGAAGCAAAGCAUCUGUCUUCCUCACCCAGUUUACACCAGUAAGAGGUCAGGCCAUUAACGCCCGGGUUAUCGCUAAAGAUGCCGGCUCCAAGACUGCAGAACAGCUCGACGCAAUUUUCGCAUCACCGUGGUUUACAGAAACGGGAGUUUCGUCGCACAUGGACGGCGACUAUCUCUACAUACUGACCACCGCACACAUUGUGGACCAUCUGUUCCAUGCGGUCAACAGGCCAAUUGAUCCAGCCACGGUGAACCAGCUCUUUACAAUCGAGGUCACAUGUUUCCAUGCCGAGAGAGACUUCACAGUUAAUAGGAACAUGGGUGGCGAUCGCACCUACACGGCGGCGACGGUCUGCGGGAUUGACUGUCUCAGAGAUCUCAUGAUGCUGCGUGUUGGUCGGACAGAGCUGGCCGUGAGGGGCGUCGGGCAGCAGAGGGUGCAAUGCACACGGCAGCACCCGGUUCUGCAGUUUGAUGGAGCACGCGAGCUUGGCAUGCAGUGCAUGCUUGUUUCGUGGCCUCCGUUCCGUCCGUGCACGUUUGCCACGGGCCUUCAGUGCCUCCACCGGGUUUUGACUGGCAUGAGCACCAACCCAGUUGGGUAUGAUAUGGAGCUGCUCGAGGCUUACAUUGGAUCCGAUCACGGGUCCUCGGGAGGCCCUCUCUUCAACGCCGCUGGCUGGGUCAAGGGUAUUCUGCAUGGAGGGAGUGGGGCGCACUCUCAGUUCAUCUUGCCUAGAGACAUUCUACCUUUCAUCCAGAACAAUGCAGUUCCCCCUCAGCCACCGUCAACGUCAUCUUCACCUCCCCGGGGUCCCAGAGGAGGAGGAGGAGGAGGAGGUCCCAAGCGCGGUCCUAACAAAGAUGACAAGUCGGGUCCCUCAGAUCCUCCAAAGCGCCGUCGGAGUGUCCGUGACAAGGGCAAGGCCACCGCUGCAUGGGGAUCCGGCCGGUGGAGGUACACGCUCAGAUCCCACGGCAAGGGCAUGGCCGUUGGUGCAGGUGGAUCCGGCCAGAAGUAUCUGCUUAGACCCCGCUCAUGA